rnacentral:rRNA from 1 species
UGGGGAAUAUUGCACAAUGGGCGCAAGCCUGAUGCAGCCAUGCCGCGUGUGUGAAGAAGGCCUUCGGGUUGUAAAGCACUUUUGUCCGGAAAGAAAUCCUUGGCUCUAAUACAGUCGGGGGAUGACGGUACCGGAAGAAUAAGCACCGGCUAACUACGUGCCAGCAGCCGCGGUAAUACGUAGGGUGCAAGCGUUAAUCGGAAUUACUGGGCGUAAAGCGUGCGCAGGCGGUUUGCUAAGACCGAUGUGAAAUCCCCGGGCUCAACCUGGGAACUGCAUUGGUGACUGGCAGGCUAGAGUAUGGCAGAGGGGGGUAGAAUUCCACGUGUAGCAGUGAAAUGCGUAGAGAUGUGGAGGAAUACCGAUGCGAAGGCAGCCCCUGGGCCAAUACUGACGCUCAUGCACGAAAGCGUGGGGAGCAAACAGGAUUAGAUACCCUGGUAGUCCACGCCCUAAACGAUGUCAACUAGUUGUUGGGGGAUUCAUUUCCUUAGUAACGUAGCUAACGCGUGAAGUUGACCGCCUGGGGAGUACGGUCGC